AAAUUGAAGAGUUUGAUCAUGGCUCAGAUUGAACGCUGGCGGCAGGCCUAACACAUGCAAGUCGAACGGUAACAGGAAGCAGCUUGCUGCUUUGCUGACGAGUGGCGGACGGGUGAGUAAUGUCUGGGAAACUGCCUGAUGGAGGGGGAUAACUACUGGAAACGGUGGCUAAUACCGCAUAACGUCGCAAGACCAAAGAGGGGGACCUUCGGGCCUCUUGCCAUCAGAUGUGCCCAGA
rnacentral:rRNA from 10 species